CCCCCAUGGACCGGGGGGGUUAUCCCGCCCUACAAAGACCCUACAUCAAGCCUACCUGGAGUUCUGCGCUAUGAGCCAGGGCACUAAAAUGGUGGAGCCACGAUCCGCAAUGGACGACACAACCUCGCCUGUCUGCAGACGGAACCACCUUGCUGAGCAUCACCCUUACCAAACAAGCCCACACAUGAUUCUGCCUUCCGACUACAUGGCGAGCGGCCUGGGGAUGGAGAUGGAGG